GAAUCAUGAGUGAGAAGAUGGGUUUAAGGAUGCAAGCAAACAAGAGGCCCAAGAGAAGAAGACAGUAAUCCAGAAGAAUCCACACAACUCUCCAGAUAGUUUCCACAUCACAUACAUGUCAGUUGCUGAAAAUGCAAGACGCAGUCCCUAGAUGAGGAUUACAAAGAUCUAACGGGAAGAACUGCUGUACAGGAAACAUGGCACCAGUAUCUGCUUGGCUUCCGGCGAGGACACAGGAAGCGUAAAAUCAGAGCUGAAGGUAAAGGGAGAGCCCAACCUCACAAGGCAUGAGUGAGCGCAAGAGAGAGAGUGAGCAGGAGGUGCUACACGGUUUCAAAUGACCAGAACUCACUAUCGCAAGGACAGCGCCAAGCCACGAAGGACCCACUCCCAUGACCCAAACACCUCCCACCAGGCGCCACCUCCAACAUCAGGGAUUACACUUCAACCUGUGAUUCAGGGGACAAAUAUCCAAACAAUAGCAAUUGGCAACUUCAUAUUUAGAAAUUACUGGCAUUAUUAUCAUCUAAAUCUGUUUCACUUCUUGGAAAACCAGAUGUAUUUUACAUAGGGAGAAAAAGUAAUAUGGGAAGUAGAAAUCUCAAUAAAGAAUGGACUUCAGUUAACGUGAAUGUAUCAAUAUUUGUUAACUUUAACAUAUUUGCUAUACUAAUGGGAAUGGUACUGAUAGGAUAAACUGGAUAUGAGGUAUGUGGGAAAUCUCUGUGCUGUCUUCUCACUUUUCUGUAAAUCUAAAACAGUCUAUUAAAAAAUACCAUUGGUGGUGGCUGUACCCCCAACUCAAUCAAUAAAGUCAUUUAAAAAUAUGUAAUAUACAUUGGGAUUUAGCCAUUGUGGUCUUUCUCCAUUAUAAGCCCUCUUACACCAUGCAGAGACAUACUGUACUUGAUCUAUUCUGAAGUGGUUGUUAUCCAGGAUAUGGAGAGAACUUAAAUAAAUUUGUAGGUGGGGAUAUGCCUUCCAAGAAUUUUUGGCCUGGAGGCAAGAGGGGAAAAAUUAAAAGUCUCAUCCCCCUAAAAAAAAAUUGCUAUGCACUUCUUAGUGUCAUUUUGUGAAUUAAAUACAGCUUGUCUGAUUUAAAAAAAAAAUUAACAAUUGAUGUUGAUAUCUAGACUCAUGAAAAAUAUAACAUCGAAAAAUUACUGUAACUAUAAACCUGACAAUUUUGUUUACCUUAAAGAAUGCUAUGGCUGAUAGAAACAAAAAGUGUAACUAGCUAAGUAGAUAUACAAAAUAUUUUAUUUUACCUAUACUUCUGAAUGUCAACUAACAGGUAUUGCUAUAGAUGUUUUUACAAAUGUUUGCCUAAAGAUAUUUUUGUACAUUUUAUAGUUCUCUUUUAUUUGUAACCAAGUAUCUUGUGCUUGUCAGCUCUAUGAUUUGAUUUUUAAAAAUAUAUUAAAUUAUGAAUCCAUAAAUAUGUAGAACAGAAAAAUAUAUUAACUCACUUGAUAUGUGUAGGAAGACAACAUUACUCUUAGUAAGACAAGUGCUUUUUGAUAAAAAAUAGGCAAGUAUUGUGUAAGUGGGAAAGCUUUAAACAAAUAAAUUUAUAGGAAAUUAGAGUUUCCCAAAAGUUGGCAUCAAAGAAUAGAGUUUCAGGGCACUGAACCAGAGGGAAUUUAGAGAACUGAGUUUUGGGUAGAGAGAGAAUCCAGCAAGGUUAUGGCAGGAAAUAAGCACCAUAUCCCCCAUGAGAAACCCCCUGUGUCAAGGAGCACCAGACAGAAUUCUAAGAUAGGACUUCCAAUUUUGAGUCAUGCCCUUUGCUACUCUGUGCAGAACUACGUCUGUGUAAUUAUGAAUUUUCAUUAAAACCCGC
rnacentral:lncRNA from 10 species